GCUGUGUACAGUCAAACAACUUUCCUACACGUCAGCACUUUUCUCUGUGCUCCUCCAAACCACAACAACUCCAGCUCAAAGCCCGCAGGGAGGCGGCGUGUUUGUUUCUACCUGGAACACAGCGGCUUCGCUCCUCUGUGUUUUUGUCCCAACAGACGAUAAGACAAAGCAGAUUUUAGCUGGAAAUGGUUCUGCUUUAAGCCAAACAAGUCUAUUUAGGAGCAUUAGUUUUCCUUGAUUUUCCAUUAUUUUGCCUUUAGUAGUUUGGGGGGAAAAAAAACUUGAAAAUUAAAAUAUUUCAACAGAAAUAAAAAGAAAAAAAUAUGUUUUAAUCACUCUGUAACUGUUUACAGAUUUAACUUGAAUUCAUAAUAUUUAUGAUGGUAUUUCAGUUCAUUUAAAGCAAUUUAAAGAGAUUUUAAAACUGCUUUAAAAUAUACAAAAAAACUGUCAAAAUAUUUUAAAUACAAUUGUAAAAAACGAAAAUUUGAAUCAAAUGAUGACCUUAGGAAUCUCUGGAAAUUAAUUGAAUUUAAGAGUUUAGGACUGAUGCCAAUGUAACAGAUGAAGGGCUGACGAUUUAUCCAAACAAUAGAAAUCUGAAGGAAGAAAUAAGUGCACCUUCUUUGUCGUUGUAGAUGAUGUUCUUGCAGAGCAGGUCGUUGUGGCAGAGCACCACAGGAGACCCCAGCGUGGACAGAUGCUCCUUCAUCCACACCAUCUCCUCCUCCAGCACCGCCUUGCUGGGAACCUGCUGCUGGAUUCUGGGAAGAGAGCGGCAUUAGGGAAAGUGUGGCAUCAACGAACAGACUCAAACUGUCCCCGUCCAAAACCAAUAACCACCCAGCUCUCUAGACAACAUGCGUCCGGUACAAACGGACCGGCAGGAGCUCACCUGGAGUUGGAGGCUUGAUCGGUGAACUCUGUGGCCAAAAGGGAGAAGUACUUCCUCAAGGUGAUCCAAAGGCUGGGUUUGGGAAUGCAGCCGUUGUGGGCGUGGAUGGCAUGGAUGCGGGCCAUUUCCCGAGCUAUUAGUCUGAAAGGACCAAGAAAAAUAAAAGGGUGAGCGGAGUUCUACAGUUCGGACACAAAGAUGAUUUUCAUCAGAGUUGGGUUUAAGUUAACAUUUUGUUUUUGUUCUGACCUGAGUAAGGUUGGAUCCCGGACGUCCUGCGGGCCCAGAGCGUCUCCCUGCAUGAACUCAUAGCAGAUGCCGUUUUGAAAGCUGCAGUAGAGGCGGGGGGCG